rnacentral:rRNA from 1 species
AGUGAACGCUGGCGGUAGGCCUAACACAUGCAAGUCGAACGGCAGCACAGUAAGGGCUUGCUCUUACGGGUGGCGAGUGGCGGACGGGUGAGGAAUACAUCGGAAUCUACUUUUUCGUGGGGGAUAACGUAGGGAAACUUACGCUAAUACCGCAUACGACCUACGGGUGAAAGCAGGGGAUCUUCGGACCUUGCGCGAUUGAAUGAGCCGAUGUCGGAUUAGCUAGUUGGCGGGGUAAAGGCCCACCAAGGCGACGAUCCGUAGCUGGUCUGAGAGGAUGAUCAGCCACACUGGAACUGAGACACGGUCCAGACUCCUACGGGAGGCAGCAGUGGGGAAUAUUGGACAAUGGGCGCAAGCCUGAUCCAGCCAUACCGCGUGGGUGAAGAAGGCCUUCGGGUUGUAAAGCCCUUUUGUUGGGAAAGAAAAGCAGCAGGUUAAUACCCCGCUGUUCUGACGGUACCCAAAGAAUAAGCACCGGCUAACUUCGU